AACGAACGCUGGCGGCAGGCCUAACACAUGCAAGUCGAGCGCCCGCAAGGGAGCGGCGGACGGGUGAGUAACGCGUGGGAACGUACCCUUUGCUACGGAAUAGCCUCGGGAAACUGGGAGUAAUACCGUAUGUGCCCUUCGGGGGAAAGAUUUAUCGGCAAAGGAUCGGCCCGCGUUGGAUUAGGUAGUUGGUGGGGUAAUGGCCUACCAAGCCGACGAUCCAUAGCUGGUUUGAGAGGAUGAUCAGCCACACUGGGACUGAGACACGGCCCAGACUCCUACGGGAGGCAGCAGUGGGGAAUCUUAGACAAUGGGCGCAAGCCUGAUCUAGCCAUGCCGCGUGAGCGAUGAAGGCCUUAGGGUUGUAAAGCUCUUUCAGUGGGGAAGAUAAUGACUGUACCCACAGAAGAAGCCCCGGCUAACUCCGUG
rnacentral:rRNA from 1 species